rnacentral:rRNA from 1 species
AUGCAUUCUCGUAAGAACAUCCUCGUGAUCCUACGGUCCUCAGAGAGGACUUACGACAUGGUCCAACUCCCUGGGGAAACAUGCAGUGCUGCGAGCAUGUAUCCAAUGCCAAAAAAUUCUGUCUUGGGAAGUUAUGACAGAGGGGUUCACUACGUGACGAUCAAUAAGCAGUUACAGCUUCAAGUAUGGAUGCUAACCGAAUCAUCAGAUGGUCAACUAGAUUGGACACUGGCACACAAUGCCAACGUCAAGCCUCACAGUGAUCUUAUUAAGUUUUCAAUACUAAAGCCAACAAUGGUGAAAUGGGGGGCUAUCCGAAGCAGCGGUGGACCAGUCAACUUGAUCGAGGAUGACGGCUAUGGUAAUGUGGAGGAGGACAGAGCUGGAGCAUACGACUCUGACUCUUCGUGGAACUCAGACGAGGACAACUUCAUCGAUGUGCCACAAGGUAGCGAAAACCUUGUGCAAUCGACAUGGUGUGCUGACAGCAGAAUUAUAGGAUUCCACCCACACAAGAAUGCGCUCAUCCUUUUAGUUCACUGGGCAGUGAUGGUGUAUCAUCUCGAUACAUCGAGGAUGCAAUUUUUAGGUUACAAAUGUAAGCUCAUGAAUGAUCCUAUGGAACAUUGCUAUGUCAACUGCUUCAUUUACCGAGCUUGCUAUGCGAAGAUGUUGCCAACAGGAAAAAAAAUCAGUGAGUUCUUGGAAUAA